rnacentral:rRNA from 1 species
UACGUAGGGUGCGAGCGUUAGUCGGAAUUACUGGGCGUAAAGCGUGCGCAGGCGGUUCGUUGUGUCGGCGGUGAAAGCCCCGGGCUUAACCUGGGAAUGGCCGUUGAAACUGGCGAACUGGAGUGUGGCAGAGGGGGGUGGAAUUCCGCGUGUAGCAGUGAAAUGCGUAGAGAUGCGGAGGAACACCGAUGGCGAAGGCAGCCCCCUGGGCUAACACUGACGCUCAGGCACGAAAGCGUGGGGAGCAAACAGG